GCAGGGCCUGGCAGCAGUAGGAGGGAACAGACAGAUGAGAAAAUCCAAACCCUCUGCCUCCGCUGUGCUGGACUCCGGGCCUAUGUCCCCCAGGACAACACAGAGAGGGGGUCUUGGCUCAUGUCACAGACCCAGCAGGGGCCCCCCUAUUCAGCAGGUGUUCACAGCAGGCUGGGCGCCAUGGCCACCGACGCUGGGCCUCCCCAGAGCAGCGCCCAUCUUGAAUAAGGGUCCCCAAAGUGUCCCUGUGAUCCUUUGACCCCCAUCAGCGAUUUCUAGUGGAGGAACUUUCUUGACCUGACUGUGCUAGUGGCUGGGCCCAGGCUGAGCUCAGGCAGGGACCAGCUUCACACACGCCUCGGGCCCGCAGCGGCACCGGGUGAGGUGGGUUAUGAGCAGGGCCUAGAGAGAAGAGUGACUGGCGGCCUCGUGGUGACAGAGGGGGAUGGUGGGGCAGCACCUUGCCUGAGGACUCAGCAGGGUGGCCCCAAAGCGCCCCUACACGGCGCCAGGCUGUGGGCCCUGGUCACGAGCACGCUGGGGCCUGCUUCCCCGGAGGCCCCGGAGCCAGGGAGGGGGUGAUGACAAGACGGAAAAGGCCAGCUUCUGGCCCUCGUCCUGCUGCGGGCCCUCCAGGGCUCAGGGUCCCGGCAGCCGGGGAUCUGGGGACCCGCUGCCCUCCGCCGCAGGAAGGCCCGCCCCAGGAGGGGAGCCAUCGGGUGGGAGAGAGGACACAAGCUGGACACCCGGACAGCGGAAGGAGCCCAACAGUGUGGCCACCGCUCAAGCCCUGCCGGCAACCCUUGACCGGAGCCACCUCUCGAGCCGUUCUAUAACGUCAUUCUCUUAAGUAUUCCGGUCACAAAGCAUAAAAAAAUUGGAAAGCGCAA